rnacentral:rRNA from 1 species
UACGGAGGGGGCGAGCGUUGUCCGAAUUUAUUGGGCGUAAAGCGCGUGUAGGCGGAUGGACAAGCCUGAGGUGAAAGGUUGGGGCUCAACCCCAUACAGUGCCUUGGGGACUGUUCGUCUGGAGGCCGGCAGAGGAGAGUGGAAUUCCUGGUGUAGCGGUGGAAUGCGUAGAGAUCAGGAAGAACACCCAUGGCGAAGGCAGCUCUCUGGGCUGGUACUGACGCUGAGACGCGAAAGCGCGGGGAGCGAACGGG